AACGGGUGAGUAAUACAUAAGUAACCUGCCCUAGACAGGGGGAUAACUAUUGGAAACGAUAGCUAAGACCGCAUAGGUACGGACACUGCAUGGUGACCGUAUUAAAAGUGCCUCAAAGCACUGGUAGAGGAUGGACUUAUGGCGCAUUAGCUGGUUGGCGGGGUAACGGCCCACCAAGGCGACGAUGCGUAGCCGACCUGAGAGGUGACGGCCACAUGGGACUGAGACACGGCCCAGACUCCUACGGGAGGCAGCAUG
rnacentral:rRNA from 1 species